CUCAGGACGAACGCUGGCGGCGUGCUUAACACAUGCAAGUCGAACGGUGAACCUUGGAGCUUGCUUCGAGGGGAUCAGUGGCGAACGGGUGAGUAACACGUGAGUAACCUGCCCCGGACUCUGGAAUAAGCGCUGGAAACGGCGUCUAAUACCGGAUACGAGACGCAACCGCAUGGUUAGUGUCUGGAAAGUUUUUCGGUCUGGGAUGGACUCGCGGCCUAUCAGCUUGUUGGUGAGGUAAUGGCUCACCAAGGCGACGACGGGUAGCCGGCCUGAGAGGGCGACCGGCCACACUGGGACUGAGACACGGCCCAGACUCCUACGGGAGGCAGCAGUGGGGAAUAUUGCACAAUGGGCGAAAGCCUGAUGCAGCGACGCCGCGUGAGGGAUGACGGCCUUCGGGUUGUAAACCUCUUUCAGCAGGGAAGAAGCGAAAGUGACGGUACCUGCAGAAGAAGCACCGGCUAACUACGUGCCAGCAGCCGCGGUAAUACGUAGGGUGCGAGCGUUGUCCGGAAUUAUUGGGCGUAAAGAGCUUGUAGGCGGUUUGUCGCGUCUGCUGUGAAAAUCCGGGGCUCAACCCCGGACUUGCAGUGGGUACGGGCAGACUAGAGUGUGGUAGGGGAGACUGGAAUUCCUGGUGUAGCGGUGAAAUGCGCAGAUAUCAGGAGGAACACCGAUGGCGAAGGCAGGUCUCUGGGCCACUACUGACGCUGAGAAGCGAAAGCAUGGGGAGCGAACAGGAUUAGAUACCCUGGUAGUCCAUGCCGUAAACGUUGGGCGCUAGGUGUGGGACUCAUUCCACGAGUUCCGUGCCGCAGCUAACGCAUNAAGCGCCCCGCCUGGGGAGUACGGCCGCAAGGCUAAAACUCAAAGGAAUUGACGGGGGCCCGCACAAGCGGCGGAGCAUGCGGAUUAAUUCGAUGCAACGCGAAGAACCUUACCAAGGCUUGACAUAUACCGGAAACAUCCAGAGAUGGGUGCCCCUUUUGGUCGGUAUACAGGUGGUGCAUGGUUGUCGUCAGCUCGUGUCGUGAGAUGUUGGGUUAAGUCCCGCAACGAGCGCAACCCUCGUUCUAUGUUGCCAGCACGUGAUGGUGGGGACUCAUAGGAGACUGCCGGGGUCAACUCGGAGGAAGGUGGGGAUGACGUCAAAUCAUCAUGCCCCUUAUGUCUUGGGCUUCACGCAUGCUACAAUGGCCGGU
rnacentral:rRNA from 1 species